rnacentral:rRNA from 1 species
AUCCCCSAUCUAGAAUHCAAGURKWGGGGGUWRUGCCUGCCCAGUGACWCUGUUAWMCGGCCGCGGUAUCCUAACCGUGCAAAGGUAGCGUAAUCACUUGUCUUUUAAAUAAAGACUAGAAUGAAUGGCCAAACGAGGCUCUACCUGUCUCUUACAAAUAAUCAGUGAAAUUGAUCUCCCCGUGCAAAAGCGAGGAUAACACUAUAAGACGAGAAGACCCUGUGGAACUUCAAAUAUAAAAUCAACUAUCACCAACACCCACCCACGGGCCUUAUACCAAAUAGCACCUGAUUUUUAUUUUCGGUUGGGGCGACCUCGGAACAAAACAAAACCUCCGAAAAAUAAAAAACCCUUUAAACCUAGAACAACAGUUCAAAGUGCUUCCGGCAAAACGAUCCAAUACACUUGAUCAACGAACCAAGCUACCCCAGGGAUAACAGCGCAAUCCCAUCUUAGAGUCCCUAUCGACGAUGGGGUUUACGACCUMGAUGCUGGAUCAUGACAUCCWAAURGUNNAUCUGWGUUCAGGCGGUUCGUUUGUUCAACGAUUAACAGUCCU